rnacentral:rRNA from 1 species
CCGAGUCUGAUAAGGGCGCAUAGUCGCGGGCAGUAGACCCGAAACCGGGUGAUCUAGUCAUGCCCAGGGUGAAGGUGCGGUAACACGCACUGGAGGCCCGAACCCACUCCCGUUGCAAAGGUAGGGGAUGAGGUGUGAUUAGGAGUGAAAAGCUAAUCGAACCCGGAGAUAGCUGGUUCUCCUCGAAAGCUAUUUAGGUAGCGCCUCAUAUGUAUCCUCUCGGGGGUAGAGCACUGUUAUGGCUAGGGGGUCAUCGCGACUUACCAAACCAUUGCAAACUCCGAAUACCGAGACGGACUGUAUGGGAGACACACGGCGGGUGCUAACGUCCGUCGUGAAAAGGGAAACAACCCAGACCCACAGCUAAGGUCCCAAAUUCACUGCUAAGUGGAAAACCAUGUGGAAAGGCACAGACAGCCAGGAGGUUGGCUUAGAAGCAGCCACCCUUUAAAGAAAGCGUAAUAGCUCACUGGUCGAGUCGGUCUGCGGGGAAGAUUUAACGGGGCUAAGCAGUG